UACAGAGGUCUCAAGCGUUGUUCGGAUUCAUUGGGCGUAAAGGGUGCGUAGGUGGCGGGGCAAGUCUGGUGUGAAAUCCCGGGGCUCAACCCUGGAACUGCACUGGAUACUGCUUUGCUAGAGUACUGGAGAGGGAACUGGAAUUUACGGUGUAGCAGUGAAAUGCGUAGAUAUCGUAAGGAAGACCAGUGGCGAAGGCGGGUCUCUGGACAGUUCCUGACGCUGAGGCACGAAGGCCAGGGAGCAAACGGG
rnacentral:rRNA from 1 species